AUGGACAAGCUGCCCCCCUCCAUGCGCAAGAGGCUCUACAGCCUGCCCCAGCAGAUCGGACCCAAGGCGUCGAUCAUGGACGAGGAGGAUGACAGCGACAAGGACACCCGGAGGAAAAGCAUCAGGCUGAAGCCACUGCCUUCGCCCUCUGCUGGGAGCACCCGGGCCCUCGGGGGGGACCCCGGCAGAGGGGGGGACCCCGGCCUCCUGGAGACGGAGGCCGGCGGCAAGGGCGCCAAGACCAGCACCAACGGGGACUGCCGCCGCUUCAAAGGGAGCCUGUCCUCGCUGACCAGCAGGCACCUCCACGACGCGGCCGAGGAGAAGAGGCUGAUCGGCGGCGAAGGGGAGCCGGCCUCCCCCAGCGAGGACAAGAGCCCCCCCGGCAGUGGGGAGCUGGAGCAGGGGCUGCCGGCGCCCCCACCGCCCGCGUCCCCCCCGGAGCCUCAGCAGCCCCCCCGGGCCUGCUCCUCCACUUCCAUCAAAGUGGAAGGAGGUGGAGGGUGCGACCAGAUCACCCCAGAUGAGGAGCAGAGGCUGGGCCAAGCCGGUUUCAUGCAGAGGCAGUUCGGGGCCAUGCUCCAGCCGGGGGUCAACAAAUUCUCCUUGAGGAUGUUUGGCAGCCAGAAGGCCGUGGAGAGGGAGCAGGAGAGGGUUAAGUCUGCCGGGUUCUGGAUCAUCCACCCCUACAGCGACUUCAGGUUUUAUUGGGAUUUGACCAUGCUGCUCCUGAUGGUAGGGAACCUGAUCAUCAUCCCUGUGGGCAUCACUUUCUUCAAGGAUGAAAACACUACCCCAUGGAUUGUCUUCAAUGUGGUUUCGGACACGUUCUUCCUCAUCGACCUUGUCCUCAACUUCCGAACAGGCAUCGUGGUGGAGGACAACACCGAGAUCAUCCUGGACCCACAGAGGAUCAAGAUGAAGUACCUCAAGAGCUGGUUUGUGGUGGAUUUUAUCUCCUCCAUCCCUGUGGACUAUAUCUUCCUGAUCGUGGAGACCCGCAUUGACUCGGAGGUGUACAAGACGGCCCGGGCCCUGCGCAUCGUGCGCUUCACCAAGAUCCUGAGCCUGCUCCGGCUGCUGAGGCUCUCCCGGCUCAUCCGCUACAUCCACCAGUGGGAGGAGAUCUUCCACAUGACCUACGAUCUGGCCAGUGCCGUGGUGAGGAUCGUGAACCUCAUUGGGAUGAUGCUGCUGCUGUGCCACUGGGACGGCUGCCUCCAGUUCCUGGUGCCGAUGCUGCAGGACUUCCCCGACGACUGCUGGGUGUCCCUGAACCGCAUGGUGAACGACUCCUGGGGGAAGCAGUAUUCCUACGCCCUGUUCAAGGCCAUGAGCCACAUGCUGUGCAUCGGCUACGGGCAGCAGGCGCCCGUGGGCAUGUCGGACGUGUGGCUCACCAUGCUCAGCAUGAUCGUGGGGGCCACCUGCUACGCCAUGUUCAUCGGCCACGCCACCGCCCUCAUCCAGUCCCUGGACUCCUCCCGCCGCCAGUACCAGGAGAAGUACAAACAGGUGGAGCAGUACAUGUCCUUCCACAAGCUCCCGGCAGACAUGCGGCAGCGCAUCCACGACUACUAUGAGCACCGGUACCAGGGGAAGAUGUUUGAUGAGGAGAGCAUCCUGGGGGAGCUGAGCGAGCCCCUGCGAGAGGAAAUCAUCAACUUCAACUGCCGGAAGCUGGUGGCCUCCAUGCCCCUGUUUGCCAACGCAGACCCCAACUUUGUGACGUCCAUGCUGACCAAGCUGCGGUUCGAGGUGUUCCAGCCGGGUGACUACAUCAUCCGGGAGGGCACCAUCGGCAAGAAGAUGUACUUCAUCCAGCACGGCGUGGUCAGCGUCCUCACCAAGGGCAACAAGGAGACCAAGCUGGCCGACGGAUCCUACUUUGGAGAGAUCUGCCUGCUGACGCGGGGCCGGCGCACGGCCAGCGUGCGAGCCGACACCUACUGCCGCCUGUACUCCCUGUCCGUGGACAACUUCAACGAGGUGCUGGAGGAGUACCCCAUGAUGCGCAGGGCUUUUGAAACCGUGGCUCUGGACAGGCUGGACAGAAUUGGCAAGAAGAAUUCCAUUCUGCUGCAUAAAGUCCAGCAUGACCUGAAUUCGGGUGUUUUCAACUACCAGGAGAAUGAGAUCAUCCAGCAGAUCGUGCAGCACGACAGGGAGAUGGCUCACUGUGCUCACAAUGUCCAGGCUGCCGCCGCCGCCGCCUCCACACCCACCCCGGUCAUCUGGACCCCACUGAUCCAGGCCCCCCUCCAGGCUGCAGCAGCCACCACAUCUGUGGCCAUCGCCCUGACCCACCACCCCCGGCUCCCCACAGCCAUCUUCCGUCCACCUGUGUCUGUCCUGGGCUCCCUGGGGCAACAAUCCAACCAGACUCCCAGGCAGCUGAAAAGAUUUCAAUCCCUAAUCCCAUCAACCGGCCCCUCUGCCGUAGGCUCUCCCUCCAGUACUCCAUCCCAGCUGCACACACCCGGAGCAGAAACCCCCUCGUCCUCUUCCUUCCACAUCCAGCAGCUCGCAGGGUUCUCAGCUGCCGCCGGCUUAGGCCAGUUCCAGGUGGGAUCCCCUCCAGGUGGCUCAAGCCAGCCGGGUUUGAGCAGCACCUCCUCGGUGGGACUGAGCCAGUUCCAAAACGCACCUUCUGGAUCACCCUUAGGUGCAGCUCAGCCGGUGCAGCAGCAGCAGCAGCAGCAACAACAGCAACAGCAGCAGCAACAGCAGCAACAGCAGCAGCAGCAGCAGCAGCAGCAGCCAGCCCUUUCCAGCAGUGGAUUUGGGCACUUCCAGCAAGCCACAACCAGCUCCCCAUCAACGUCCCUCACCCAGCUCUCAUCAAACUCACCCCCCAGUCUUCUCAACCAGUUCCAGCCAACCACCAGACCACUGCAGGGGGGACAGUUACAGCAGCUCUCGGGCAGUGGGACUUUGGGGGGAAUGAAUCACUUCCAACCCCCUCCUUCUUCCAACUCUCCAUCCUCCAGCCUAAGCCAACUGGCACAGGCCUCAGGUGGGCCGUCCUCAGGCCUGUGCCAAACACAUCCAAGUGCAUUAGGAUCUUUAACUGGAACGAUAGCCCAGCUCCACCAAGAACGGCCUCCCUUUGCCUCCGUGUCUCCACUACAACAGUCCGGUGUCGCCUCUCCCUCUUACACCCCUUCUGGCCUUAGUCCUCCCAGUCAGAGCCCAGUGGCUACAAGAACUUUCCAGAGUGGCCCUGCCGGGCCCACAGGCUCUCACGGCUCGCUGCUGCUGCCCCAGCCCGCCAGCCCCCCUCCGCAGAUCCUGCAGGCCAAGGCCGCGGCGCCAGUGCCGGUGCCGCCGGGACGGCUCAACCAGGACAUCAAGCUGAUCUCUGCUUCCCAGCCAUCUCUGCCCCAGGAGCUGGCGCAGACACUGGGCCACAGUUCUCCUCAUUCCUCUAGAGAAUCUGUUUCCAGCUUCUCUCCUUUUCCUGGAGGAGGGACUGGACUUCUGGGGAAGCCUUGUAGCUCGAUCCCCGGGCGUGUGACUUUGCCGCGGCAGAUGUCCUCAGGGUCUUUGCCACACCCGCUGGUGUUCGGGGCCGGCGCUGCUCCUCUGACUGCUGGUGGGCGCAAAGAAUCCAUAGUGCUCACAGGGGAUCUGGAGCCCGUCAGAUCCAAACUGCCCUCCAAUUUGUGAGGACUCCUCCCGAGAGCUGGUUAUGUCAGCCCUGCAGUUCAGUUCCUGAUUAGUUCAUGAAGCAUUUUUUUUUUCCCUUUCCUUCUCUCCCACCCCGCACCCGCUUUGUUUUCUCCAUUUCGUUUGUUUAGGUUUAACUGUGCUUAGAAACAAAGAAAAACACAUGAAAAACAACAACAACAACAAAAAAGAAGAUAACCAGGUUCAUCUUGAAACAGGAAUUGAAGCAGACUCACAGACCCUCUCAUAUUUUCAAAGUUGUUUUGCAGAUGUGUGUACGAAAUCCUUCACGUUAAUGGCAGACGUGGCAACUCUGGCUGACUGUGUGAUCCGUGGAGAAGGGCCCAAGGAGCAGGAUGCAGAUGUGAACAACCUGGAACAGGGACUGCCACAGGAAGCAGACAAAGCAGGGAGGAAGGAAGCAGCAGUUUCCAGGUCUCAGACUAAGCUGGAUGGUGAUUCCAAGGUCAGGAGCUGAUGUAUUUUAGGAAGCUUUGCAGCCCAGGACUGAAGACCCCACCUCAUCUCUAGGGGAAGAUGAAGUUACAGGAGGUGGAGGCACUGACAGCCAGCCUAAAAUGAAAAAGGGACACAGCCUGUGGCAGCCCAGCCUUGCCCUGCCUGCAGCCUGCUGAGGGGGUCAGGAUGAUGCUCCCAAGGACACGAGUGACCAGGAAAGUGGCUGAUGACCAGUGGGAGUCCCAAGUAUGAGAGAAGGAGGCUGGAGUCAGCAUGGAGCAACAUGGAUACCCAUCACUGCACUUCAAAAGGUACAGAAAAAGCUCUCUAUUCCAUGAUUAUAAUAUUAUUUUUCAUGAUUUGCCAGUUUACUAAGGCUACUAAAAUGUCCUUUCCCUGAUGUGAACCCCUUCCUUUUCUACUUGCUUAUUAAAAGGUGGUAUUUUUUACCAUGGAGCUUUGAAAUAGAAGGAAGGCAGAGGUUACAUGUUCAGUGUCUGCACAAAGACUGAGGGAGAGUAACAAUUUUCCUCUUCCUUCUCUGGAGGACACAACC